rnacentral:tRNA from 1 species
GGAGGUGCCAGAGCGGUCUAAUGGAACAGCCUGAAAAGUUGUCGGUCUUAACAGACCCAAGGGUUCGAAUCCCUUUCUCUCCG